rnacentral:rRNA from 1 species
UACGUAGGGGGCAAGCGUUGUCCGGAAUUAUUGGGCGUAAAGCGCGCGCAGGCGGUCCUUUAAGUCUGCUGUGAAAGCCCACGGCUCAACCGUGGAGGGUCAUUGGAAACUGGGGGACUUGAGUGCAGAAGAGGAAAGCGGAAUUCCACGUGUAGCGGUGAGAUGCGUAGAGAUGUGGAGGAACACCAGUGGCGAAGGCGGCUUUCUGGGCUGUAACUGACGCUGAGGCGCGAAAGCGUGGGGAGCAAACAGG